UACGAAGGGGACUAGCGUUGUUCGGAAUCACUGGGCGUAAAGCGCACGUAGGCGGAUGUGUCAGUCAGGGGUGAAAUCCCGGGGCUCAACCUCGGAACUGCCUUUGAUACAGCACGUCUCGAGUCCGGAAGAGGUGGGUGGAAUUCCUAGUGUAGAGGUGAAAUUCGUAGAUAUUAGGAAGAACACCGGUGGCGAAAGCGGCUUACUGGGUCUCUUCUGACGCUGAGGUACGAAAGCUAGGGUAGCGAACGGG
rnacentral:rRNA from 1 species